rnacentral:rRNA from 1 species
UACGUAGGGUGCAAGCGUUAUCCGGAAUUAUUGGGCGUAAAAAGCUCGUAGGCGGUUUGUCGCGUCUGCUGUGAAAACUGGAGGCUCAACCUCCAGCCUGCAGUGGGUACGGGCAGACUAGAGUGCGGUAGGGGAGAUUGGAAUUCCUGGUGUAGCGGUGGAAUGCGCAGAUAUCAGGAGGAACACCAAUGGCGAAGGCAGAUCUCUGGGCCGUAACUGACGCUGAGGAGCGAAAGCAUGGGGAGCGAACAGG